rnacentral:rRNA from 1 species
UCCCUACGGGACGCAGCAGUGGGGAAUAUUGCACAAUGGGGGAAACCCUGAUGCAGCGACGCCGCGUGAGCGAAGAAGUAUUUCGGUAUGUAAAGCUCUAUCAGCAGGGAAGAAAAAUGACGGUACCUGAGUAAGAAGCACCGGCUAAAUACGUGCCAGCAGCCGCGGUAAUACGUAUGGAGCAAGCGUUAUCCGGAUUUAUUGGGUUUAAAGGGUGCGUAGGCGGGCUGUUAAGUCAGCGGUAAAAGCCCGGGGCUCAACCCCGGCGAGCCGUUGAAACUGGCUGUCUUGAGAUGUCGAGAGGG